rnacentral:rRNA from 1 species
GACGAACGCUGGCGGCGUGCUUAACACAUGCAAGUCGAACGGAAAGGCCCUGCUUGCAGGGUACUCGAGUGGCGAACGGGUGAGUAACACGUGGGUGAUCUGCCCUGCACUUCGGGAUAAGCCUGGGAAACUGGGUCUAAUACCGGAUAGGAGCCAUUUUUAGUGUGAUGGUUGGAAAGUUUUUUCGGUGUAGGAUGAGCUCGCGGCCUAUCAGCUUGUUGGUGGGGUAAUGGCCUACCAAGGCGGCGACGGGUAGCCGGCCUGAGAGGGUGGACGGCCACAUUGGGACUGAGCUACGGCCCAGACUCCUACGGGAGGCAGCAGUGGGGAAUAUUGCACAAGGGGCGCAAGCCUGAUGCAGCGACGCCGCGUGGGGGAUGACGGCCUUCGGGUUGUAAACUCCUUUCGCUAGGGACGAAGCUUUUUGUGACGGUACCUAGAUAAGAAGCACCGGCUAACUACGUG